GGUGGGGGGCAGCGCCCCCUGCACGGGGACCCCCCAGGGACUGCUCUCCGGCCUCUGCUGCAGGGACCCUUACUUGUCUUGGGGGAGGGUGUCUUCAGCACCCCCAACCUCGCCUGGGGACAUUAUAUAAUCCCCACUGAGGGGGAGCUCUCGCGAGAAUUUGGAGGAUUUGCCAUUGACCCACUAGGAGGCGCCGUGGAUAAUGGCCGCAGUGCGCUCCUGGGUGCCUUCCUCUGGCCGCAGCGCCGCCUGCGGAGGCAGAAGCAGCGGGCCGCAGCACGCUCCGACAAUCAGUCAGGUGGCUGUGCUGGGGAUCCCUGCGCGGGCCCAUCUGGGCCUGGACUACAUCUGGAGGGAGGGUGUGCGGGCAGCCCUGAAGCUCCACGUGCUCAGAGAGCGUGCUCUCACAGGCUGAGAGGCAAGGCGAAGGGUUGAGGCUGAUACUUCCAGCCUUAAAUGAGGUGUGAUGCCCUCGUGCUUCACACAUUCUCUUGAGAUGACAUAGCUCUGGGGCCAUGUCGGCUCUUCCAGUGGAUUGGUGUGGGAUAGCAGAUGGACAAGGGCUCAGCUUUACUUAAGAUAUUCUUCCAAGUCAUCAAAUGGCCACUUCUCCUUGACUUAAAAAAAAAAAAAAGAAAAAGUGGGGUUUGUAGAGUUGAGGCCAUCGGACUGGCGAUGCCUAAGGAUGUUCUGGCACUAACCCUCUGUAGUCAAUGCUCCCACAAUUUGGACACAUGACUAUAUGUGGACUGUUGGCUUUGUCACUUUGGAUCAACCCCAACCAACACACCAUGUCAACAUCAACACCCUUGGGUCCACUUUAAAUGAAGUAGUUCCCCUAGAGUAUAUGAAAGACUAAACGCUUUGAAAAGUAGCAAAUGAAGCUGUGAAGGAUUGGCCACACCCACUUUUUUUUCUAUAGGUGGUUUCUAUACUUGUUUAAGUUACAAGUUUGAAAGACUCUGACAAACUAUAUACAGCUCAGUGUUUAAGAGUUUGGUUAGGAAGUUGAACAAACCUUUAUCCUACACUAUUGUUUUCUGGAGGUAUUACAAUAUAUAUAUUUAAAAGCGUAAUCAAUGCCUCAAUGGAAAACAAAGGAUAGAAGUUGUUUAAAAGGGGUGUGGCAAGGCCUUUCAUCAAAGGACUAGAGAUAUGGACCUACACAAUGUAGAAGAUAGGCAACGGGAAUAUGAAAUAGGCAAAGUAAAUUCAUCUCUAGUUUUCCUUAGACACUCACUACAGCAAUAACAUUGAAUGAAGGGAAUCUGGAUUUCAUCACUGCCUUCACUUUGAAGCACAAAAGAUGCUGGAUUCAGAUUGAGGGGUUAAAAAAAAAAAGACGUGCAUGCUCAUGUCACCAGAAUUAGUACAAAAAUGCAGCAUAAAAAUGAGGCAACACUCUCCUCUAAAUGGCUUCUGGAUGGUGGUGUUCACUGCUCAAACAUGCCCAGAGAAACUCCAGCAGUGACAGAAUGAUUGUGACGCUAAGAACUGCGAAUAUGAAGAAGACCAAAGUUCUCUGCUCCAGUGAGGUGUGAGGUAGCAAUGCUGUCUCUACAGUGACUUCUGAGCUGGCUACUUAACUUCUGCUCCAUGUACUUGACACUGACAACUUAAUGCUGCGUUUCAACAGAACAGAAGAUUAAGUCUCUUAAAUGUUUUAAAUGACUACCCCAAGACGCCAUGACUGAGGUGAAUUGAAUCUGCAAUUGGAUGAGGCAUUCGGUGACAGAAGACAUUAGUGCAGGAUCUCUCAAGCAAACUCAGACCUCACUGAUCUGGCUAGUCUCACUCCUCCUUCUGCGGCUGAAUUACAGGCUACACUAUACGGAACCCCACUUCCCAGGUUCUUGUCACUUGUGUUCCAGACAGUUGUGGGAAGCACAAGUGAAGAUUGCCAGGGGAAGCCAGGGACAUCUAAGUAACCCCGUCUGCAUGGCAUCUAGCAGCAUCAACUGACCAUCUUCCACAGUUCCACUUUCAGCAACCUUCGCCCCUCCCCUACAUUCUGCUUCCUCUACCCAGAGCAGGUUUCUGGGCCCUACCAUACUCCAACUUCCCGCCUCCCCACCCCACUCCAGCUCCUCAGCAGUCAGUCGCUCCUCUCCUAGUAGCUCAGCUUUGUAUCAGGCUUUUGAACAAUUGUUCUCCUUGUUAACUAGAAUCCCUGUAUUAAGUAUCCUAUUUAGACAGAAGGAGUAGUUUAUGUUUCGCUGAGUGGGUCCUGACUGAUCCGUCAGGAUGUCACAAAGAUCACAAAGGCCACCACAGCUGACUGUACUUGGCCCUUUUCCAAACUGGGAACAUGGAGGCAAAUGUGACUAGGUCACGUAACAGGAAGGGCGGAGCCCCAACUUACCAAGGCCCAGCUUUUUCUCCCGUGGUCUCAGGAGCUGCAAGAAGAAGAAACAACAUGUCAACACAAAAAGACAAAAAUAUUUUAAAUUUCAUUUUAUUCCCAAAAAUGCAUACUCAAGACUAUACUUCCAGGGAUCUUAACUUUGUUACUAUAAAUGCAAUCUCACUGAGAAAGAUUAUUGAAUUUAUUAGACCUUGAAGUGGAGUAUGCUCAACAUUUUUGUCCAAAGCCAAAAAGGUAUUUGGGGGCUGGAGAUGUAGCCUAACAUGCAUGAAGAGCCGGCUCCCUCCUCAGCACUAUACACUGUGGUGUAACACCGGCAGUACCAGUGUCUGAGAGGCAGGGCCAAGCAUCAGGAGCUCCAGCUCAGCUGGUCUGAGUCAACCCAGACGUCAGGACACCUACUUCUAACAACAAAGCAAAGA